GACGAACGCUGGCGGCGUGCUUAACACAUGCAAGUCGAACGGUAAGGCCCUUCGGGGUACACGAGUGGCGAACGGGUGAGUAACACGUGGGUGAUCUGCCCUGCACUUCGGGAUAAGCCUGGGAAACUGGGUCUAAUACCGGAUAGGACUCCUGGCUUUAUGGUUGGGGGUGGAAAGCUUUUGCGGUGUGGGGAUGGGCCCGCGGCCUAUAAGCUUGUUGGGGGGGUAAUGGCCUACCCAGGGGACGACGGGUAGCCGGCCUGGGAGGGUGACCGGUGGCACGGGGACUGAGCUACAGCGCGGACUCCUACGGGAGGCAGCAUAGGGGAAUAUUGAACAAUGGGCGCAAGACUGAUGCAGCGACGCCGCGUGAGGGAUGACGGCCUUCGGGUUGUAAACCUCUUUCAGCUAUGACGAAGCGCAAGUGACGGUAGUAGCAGAAGAAGGACCGGCCAACUACGUGCCAGCCGCCGCGGUAA
rnacentral:rRNA from 1 species